UACGUAGGGGGCAAGCGUUGUCCGGAAUUAUUGGGCGUAAAGAGCGUGUAGGCGGUCCGGUAAGUCCUCUGUGAAAGUCCAGGGCUCAACCCUGGAAUGCCGGUGGAUACUGCCGGGCUAGAGUCCGGAAGAGGCGAGUGGAAUUCCUGGUGUAGCGGUGGAAUGCGCAGAUAUCAGGAGGAACACCAACGGCGAAGGCAGCUCGCUAGGACGGUACUGACGCUGAGGCGCGAAAGCGUGGGGAGCGAACAGG
rnacentral:rRNA from 1 species